AUUGAACGCUGGCGGCAUGCUUUACACAUGCAAGUCGAACGGUAACAGGCCGCAAGGUGCUGACGAGUGGCGAACGGGUGAGUAAUGCAUCGGAACGUGCCCAGUCGUGGGGGAUAACUGCUCGAAAGAGCAGCUAAUACCGCAUACGAUCUAUGGAUGAAAGCGGGGGACCGUAAGGCCCAGCGCGAUUGGAGCGGCGGAUGUCAGAUUAGGUAGUUGGUGGGGUAAAGGCUCACCAAGCCAACGAUCUGUAGCUGGUCGGAGAGGACGACCAGCCACACUGGGACUGAGACACGGCCCAGACUCCUACGGGAGGCAGCAGUGGGGAAUUUUGGACAAUGGGGGCAACCCUGAUCCAGCAAUGCCGCGUGCAGGAAGAAGGCCUUCGGGUUGUAAACUGCUUUUGUACGGAACGAAACGGUCUGGGUUAAUACCCUGGGCUAAUGACGGUACCGUAAGAAUAAGCACCGGCUAACUACGUGCCAGCCGCCGCGGUAAAAC
rnacentral:rRNA from 1 species